rnacentral:tRNA from 1 species
GUUUUCUUAGUAUAAAAGUACAUUUGAUUUCCAAUCAAAAAGUUUGAACUUCAAAGAAAACA